rnacentral:lncRNA from 1 species
UAGGUGUCAAAUAGUUUUCUAAAGUGUUAAGUUUAUGAGAUUUGUUUUACUUCAUCUUCUCACUAAAACUUGAAAUUAUCUGUUUUUUCUUUCCUAUUUUUGUUUCACUCAUAAAGCUCUUUGAUCUAUUGUAUAGCUUUGGGACAUAAGUUGCUUUUCUUAGGUAACAUCAAACAUGUUUUAAAGUUAUUCAUUGUCUAUUUAGUUAGCUUACUUUUAGAGUGACUGUCUACACCUGUGUUUAUUUUCCUUUUUGGUUGUCUAAUUGUUUAGAUUUUUUAAAAAUUAUUAUUAUACUUUAAGUUCUAGGGUACAUGUGCACAACGUGCAGGUUUGUUACAUAUGCAUAUACAUGUGCCAUGUUGGUGUGCUGCACCCAUUAACUCGUCAUUUGCAUUAGGGACAUGGAUGAAGCUGGAAACUAUCACUCUAUUUUUUUUGAUUCUUAAAUUAUUUUUAAUCUUCUGAGUAUAACAUUAUUGAUUUUUUGUAUCCUGUGUAAUAAAUAUUUGCUUACACGAAUAUCACAAAAUAUUUUUCUUUUUUUUUUUUUUUUCUAAAUGCUCACUUGUUUAACCUUUCAGAUUUAGGACUGUAAUACAUAAAGGAAAUUUUUUGUAUAUGUUGUCAAUAAUAUAUUAAAACCAUUUUUUCCUA